GGCACAGUGCCAGAGUGGUUAAUGGGUUAGACUUGAAUUGGGCAUCCAAUCAGUCAUCUAAUGGCUUCGGCCUCGCAAGUUCGAAUCUUGUCUGUGUCG
rfam:Coniosporium apollinis CBS 100218 chromosome Tnknown supercont1.31, whole genome shotgun sequence.